UGGGGAAUAUUGGACAAUGGGGGCAACCCUGAUCCAGCAAUGCCGCGUGUGUGAAGAAGGCCUGCGGGUUGUAAAGCACUUUUGGCAGGGAUGAAAAGCACUGGAUUAAUAACCCAGUGUGUUGACCUAACCUGCAGAAGAAGCACCGGCUAACUCUGUGCCAGCAGCCGCGGUAAUACAGGGGGUGCGAGCGUUGUUCGGAAUCACUGGGCUUAAAGAGCAUGUAGGUGGGGUGUCAGGCGUCGGGUGAAAUCCCUCGGCUCAACCGAGGAACUGCCUGGCGAACCGGCAUUCUUGAGGCAGGUAGAGGUGGCUGGAACGACGGGUGGAGCGGUGAAAUGCGUAGAUAUCCGGAGGAACACCAGUGGCGAAGGCGGCCUGCUGGGCCCAAACUGACGCUGAGGCACGAAAGCGUGGGUAGCAAACAGGAUUAGAUACCCGUGUAGUCCCUGAGCGGGCUGGCAAGGCGCAU
rnacentral:rRNA from 1 species